ACUCCUACGGGAGGCAGCAGUGGGGAAUAUUGCACAAUGGGCGCAAGCCUGAUGCAGCCAUGCCGCGUGUAUGAAGAAGGCCUUCGGGUUGUAAAGUACUUUCAGCAGUGAGGAAGGCGGGUACGUUAAUAGCGUGCUCGUUUGACGUUAGCUGCAGAAGAAGCACCGGCUAACUCCGUGCCAGCAGCCGCGGUAAUACGGAGGGUGCGAGCGUUAAUCGGAAUUACUGGGCGUAAAGCGCAUGCAGGUGGUUUGUUAAGUCAGAUGUGAAAGCCCGGGGCUCAACCUCGGAAUUGCAUUUGAAACUGGCAGACUAGAGUACUGUAGAGGGGGGUAGAAUUUCAGGUGUAGCGGUGAAAUGCGUAGAGAUCUGAAGGAUACCAGUGGCGAAGCGGCCCCCUGGACAAGACUGACGCUCAGAUGCGAAAGCGUGGGGAGCAAACAGGAUUAGAUA
rnacentral:rRNA from 1 species